CCCCUAGACGUUCUGGGCCGCACGCGCGCUACACUGACGAAGGCAACGAGCUUUCCUUUACCGAAAGGUACGGGUAAUCUUUUGAAACUUCGUCGUGCUGGGGAUAGAUCCUUGCAAUUAUUGAUCUUAAACGAGGAAUUCCUAGUAAGCGCAAGUCAUCAACUUGCGUUGAUUACGUCCCUGCCCUUUGUACACACCGCCCGUCGCUACUACCGAUUGAAUGGUUUAGUGAGGCCUUCGGAUCCGCGACUCGUUUUGUGGAGAAGUUGGACAAACUCAGUCAUUUAGAGGAAGUAAAAGUCGUAACA
rnacentral:rRNA from 1 species